ensembl:lncRNA
CACACUCCCACACAAUCGCUCCUGUCACACCGCCGGGCCAAAGCUUUUAGCACUGGCUUCUGUCUUGGGUUACAACUCACAAACAGGUAUCCAGGCAGACACAUUAUGUAAUAUGCUACAAAUUCAAGUACAGUACAUACGCCUACAUCAUUACUCUGAUGUUUCAGGAAUUUCAAACCAUCCCAGUGGCUGGAGCAUCUGCUAACAUCAGUGUAACUGUGUAUGUGUGUGUGUGUGCUGCUUUGAACAAAGUCUGUAGAUGAACUGCUUUUAUUUUGUGCUCCGACAGAAUGGGAUCUGAU